GCCGGGUGUGGUGGCGCACGCCUGUAAUCCCAGCUACUCAGGAGGCUGAGGCAGGAGAAUCACUUGAACCCAGGAGGCGGAGGUUGCAGUGAGCCAAGAUGGUGCCACUGCACUCUAGCCUGGGUGAUAAAGUGAGACUCAGUCUCAA
rnacentral:SRP_RNA from 1 species